rnacentral:rRNA from 1 species
AUACGGAGGGUGCAAGCGUUACUCGGAAUCACUGGGCGUAAAGCGCGCGCCGGCGGCUAUUUAAGUUGGAUGUGAAAGCCUAUGGCUCAACUGGGUGAGGUCGUUCAAAACUGCCAGACUAGAGGACGGUAGAGGAAGGUGGAAUUCCCGGUGUAGUGGUGAAAUGCGUAGAUAUCGGGAGGAACACCAGUGGCGAAAGCGGCCUUCUGGCCCGUUCCUGACGCUAAGACGCGAAAGCUAGGGUAGCAAACAGGAUUAGAAACCCGAGUAGUCC